rnacentral:tRNA from 1 species
AGGAGCUACUUAUACUCAAUCUCGUUUUGUUUUAUCUUGUAGUCCGCGAUAGUUUAAUGGUUAGAAUUCGCG